rnacentral:rRNA from 1 species
UUGCCUACGGGACGCAGCAGUGGGGAAUAUUGCGCAAUGGGGGCAACCCUGACGCAGCAACGCCGCGUGCAGGAAGAAGGUCUUCGGAUUGUAAAGCUCUUUAAUCAGGGACGAAGAAUGACGGUACCUGAAGAAUAAGCUCCGGCUAACUACGUGCCAGCAGCCGCGGUAAUACGUAGGGAGCAAGCGUUAUCCGGAUUUACUGGGUGUAAAGGGCGUGUAGGCGGGCCUGCAAGUCAGAAGUGAAAUCUGGGGGCUUAACCCCUAAACUGCUUUUGAAACUGUGGGUCUUGAGUGAUGGAGAG